rnacentral:pre_miRNA from 6 species
CAAAGUGCUGUUCGUGCAGGUAGUGUGAUUACCUGACCUACUGCUGAGCUAGCACUUCCCGA